AUUAAAAAGGUACAUUUGACUAUAUCUGCAGCAGCUCCAUUUAAAAAUCCUAGAAAAGAGUUCAGCUAAACCACUAAAGGUUAAUAAGACGGGAUGCUAGAAGCUUGUUUUGAAGUGAGUUAUGUAAGCUUAAACCCACUCUGAAGGCAAUGUCUGGCUGCUCAGCAGUGUGGGGGUCUCAUUUCACGAGGACACAACUCAGCAUAAAGGAGUGCUAAACUGGUUUCCAGAGACUGUUGUACCUGUUUGAACAUUCCCACUUUGUAAUCGGAUUCUUCAUGCUGACCUCCUCAUAUCCCCCAAGUCUUUCGAUGACCACAACAAGCUGGUGACAGAAGAGUAUGCAAAAUGUCUAGCAGUUGCCAUUAAAGUAAGGGUGAUGAUGGUGC